rnacentral:rRNA from 2 species
AGUACCCCGAGGAAAAGAAAUCAACCGAGAUUCCCCCAGUAGCGGCGAGCGAACGGGGAGGAGCCCAGAGCCUGAAUCAGCAUGUGUGUUAGUGGAAGCGUCUGGAAAGGCGCGCGAUACAGGGUGACAGCCCCGUACACAAAAGCGCAUGUGCUGUGAGCUCGAUGAGUAGGGCGGGACACGUGGUAUCCUGUCUGAAUAUGGGGGGACCAUCCUCCAAGGCUAAAUACUCCUGACUGACCGAUAGUGAACCAGUACCGUGAGGGAAAGGCGAAAAGAACCCCGGCGAGGGGAGUGAAAAAGAACCUGAAACCGUGUACGUACAAGCAGUGGGAGCACAGGUUUACCUGUGUGACUGCGUACCUUUUGUAUAAUGGGUCAGCGACUUAUAUUCUGUAGCAAGGUUAACCGUAUAGGGGAGCCGGAGGGAAACCGAGUCUUAACCGGGCGUUAAGUUGCAGGGUAUAGACCCGAAACCCGGUGAUCUAGCCAUGGGCAGGUUGAAGGUUGGGUAACACUAACUGGAGGACCGAACCGACUAAUGUUGAAAAAUUAGCGGAUGACCUGUGGCUGGGGGUGAAAGGCCAAUCAAACCGGGAGAUAGCUGGUUCUCCCCGAAAGCUAUUUAGGUAGCGCCUCGUGAAUUCAUCUCCGGGGGUAGAGCACUGUUUCGGCUAGGGGGCCAUCCCGGCUUACCAACCCGAUGCAAACUGCGAAUACCGGAGAAUGUUAUCACGGGAGACACACGGCGGGUGCUAACGUCCGUCGUGAAGAGGGAAACAACCCAGACCGCCAGCUAAGGUCCCAAAGUCAUGGUUAAGUGGGAAACGAUGUGGGAAGGCCCAGACAGCCAGGAUGUUGGCUUAGAAGCAGCCAUCAUUUAAAGAAAGCGUAAUAGCUCACUGGUCGAGUCGGCCUGCGCGGAAGAUGUAACGGGGCUAAACCAUGCACCGAAGCUGCGGCAGCGACACUCAGGUGUUGUUGGGUAGGGGAGCGUUCUGUAAGCCUGUGAAGGUGGCCUGUGAGGGUUGCUGGAGGUAUCAGAAGUGCGAAUGCUGACAUAAGUAACGAUAAAGCGGGUGAAAAGCCCGCUCGCCGGAAGACCAAGGGUUCCUGUCCAACGUUAAUCGGGGCAGGGUGAGUCGACCCCUAAGGCGAGGCCGAAAGGCGUAGUCGAUGGGAAACGGGUUAAUAUUCCCGUACU